rnacentral:rRNA from 1 species
AUUGAACGCUGGCGGCAGGCCUAACACAUGCAAGUCGAGCGAGCGGCGGACGGGUGAGUAAUGUCUGGGAAACUGCCUGAUGGAGGGGGAUAACUACUGGAAACGGUAGCUAAUACCGCAUACCAUCAGAUGUGCCCAGAUGGGAUUAGCUAGUCGGUGGGGUAAUGGCUCACCUAGGCGACGAUCCCUAGCUGGUCUGAGAGGAUGACCAGGCACACUGGAACUGAGAAAAGGUCCAGACUCCUACGGGAGGCAGCAGUGGGGAACAUGGCAAGAGGGGCGCAAGCCUGAUGCAGCCAUGCCGCGUGUGUGAAGAAGGCCUUCGGGUGGGAAAGCACUGUCAGCGGGGAGGCGUUACUCGAAGAAGAAGCACCGGCUAACUCCGUGCCAGCAGCCGAGGUAAUUC